GUACCCGCUCCCAAUGGUCACCAGUUUACAGCCUUCAUCCCUCCCGGCCUUGUAGUUCAAGACGGCUGCGUCAUAGAUGAAAGCGUCCAACUUCCUGAAAUGACAAGACACCAGGGAGUCAUGGGGUGGCCAGGUGCCAUUUCAGGGCCCUGCUCUCCCGGCCAGUUCCAGCACCCCACAGAGUGGAGAUGGUGACUCAUGGUUGCUCUAGCCCCUUGUCAUAAAAGGAUCUAUUUUUAAUGAGGAGAUAAAAGCCAGAACCUUUCCUUUCCAACUUACAAGAGGCAGCUAAAUUAAGACACGAAGACUCCAUAUACCCAAGCAUGAAAACUGGACCAGAGAUCACUCAGCCUCCUGACGCCAUCUUCACUCCAUUGCCUUUCUCUAACAAGGAGAUAUAAAACACUGGUGCAAAGAAAAUCAAAGUGGCAGGAGACGAGGUGGGGCCUGUGUUCUGCCAGAAGCAGCUGCUGGAGGACUUCCCGUGGGAGAACAACUCUUCCCUGUGGAGCACCUUGCAAGCUUCAUGGGUGUGUUCAUCCUUUCCAUGCCCCACCCCUGUUUUAUUUUGUUUUUGUAACCAUUACAGGUGAGGUUAAACUACAGGGCUUAGCUAACAUCGAAACUUUUAUGCCAAACAUUAGAUAGUCAUCUCCAACCAAGCUCAAAAAUGAUCAGAGCACCCAAGUAGCAGCAGCAGGAAGCUGGGUGUAGCCAGUGGUAAUGGCAAACCAGAGCUGCCUAGAACAGUGGGCAUAGCCUUUCUGGAAGGCCAUCUACACUGGAACAGUAGGGAUAGUGGUGAAAAGCUAGAAAAGAUCUCAUGAACCCAGCAGUGGUGGCUUCUCAUAAAACCCUCCCGUAAGAUUGGCCUGUCCACAUUCAUCAUGGAAGGAUUGGUAGGGGUGAGAUUUAUAUUCCUCAGCAGUUAUAGUCGAUGGCAAGUUGUCCUUGGUCAAGUAAAUUACCCCACCUCAUGCUCAUGCAAGCAGCCCCAAUCAAAUGCAAUGGGUCACAGAAAAGGGCAUAAACACAGGAGGGGGAUUUUCUGGAAAGAAGAGGGCUUCAGUAGGAGAGGGAAGGAGAUAAGAGAUGAUAACGGGGGAUACAAUUAAACUGAGUAUAAUGAAAGAGUGAAUGAAAAUAAAGGAAGAAAUAAAAGGUUUAAAGCCAUUCCUAGUACAGUGUCAGAGCCCUGGAGUAGUAGAUAGGACAUAUUUGAGUCCUAGGUUGGCUUGGAUGAAGACAUGGCCUCAGGAAAGCCACUUCUUCCUUUUUGAACAGCAGGCUCCUCGGCUGUGAAGUGAGGGGGCUAUGAAGUUCUACUGAGAUUCUGAGACAUUCUAGGAUUCUGUAAGCCAAGAGUCACCUCCUGUGGCUGUCAAAGGGGAAUCUGACAUGGGGUACUGUUGCUGUGGCACUUCUUCUCUUUGAUGAAGGCGAGGUGGUUGCUGAGGGGCACAGGCUUUCGCUGGAAACCAAGGUUGAUCACCAAAAGGAGUCUGAUUUGGCCAGAAGUAUUUGAGGGCUCUGAACUCUGACUGUUGGAGACAAGAUUGAUGGUACUGAAGGGAGACUGGCCAUGCUGAGCUCUGAGCAGCACAGAGCAAAGGCCGGGGUGGGGGUGGGAGUGGGGGUGGCUUCAUCCUUCAGAUCCAAGCAUCCAUGUGAAAGGACAGGACUCACAGGUGAGGGAGCCUGGUUACUGAUGCUUUCCAUCUACAAGAUGAAAUCAGCCUUUCACCUUCCCAACUAAAUGCUUCUUCCACUAGGCAGAAGGAGGCUCAGAGGCCAGAGUCUGCCUUUGGUGGGGACAGAAUCCUUUCUGGCACUCUGAGGCCAAUAUCACCUGUUUUGGAAGCUCUGUCCCUUUUGUGGCAGAUGAAUUGACACUCUUGCUUCUCAGUGAGGAGGCUAGAACCCCACACAACACACACACACACACACACACACACACACACACUCCACCACCAUCACCACCACCACCACCACCAGCAGCAGCAGCAGCAUAGAAUCUGGGUAGAUGCUCUCUCCUUGAGAAACCGAUUAGAAAUGACGGUAAUCCAGAAGAAGAGGGGGAAAUCAGAACGGCAAAUAUGCAAGGCAGCCCAAGGAAGGAGGGUCUCAUUAGAGUCUCGAGUGACUUGAACCUGUUAAUUUCCUGCUGGGACUUUGACAGCCUUGAAAGCCUUCACAGGCAUGUAGAUCUGACCUCAUCACUUCUGGGGCUCCAGCUUGCUUACAUCUAUACAGUGCCCUUGAAAGGCUGCUACUGGCCCCAAAGCAUUUGUUAGAUAAUCCGAUUCCCUCUGUUCCACUAAAGACUGUACCCCAUCAUUGAUGAGGCAUGAGUCCUUUCCAGGAAUGGGACUUCUGUUGCCAGGCAGCCUGAUAUUUCCUAAUCAAAAGCUUCCGGUUUUAGCUCAUCGUCUUAUGCAUGUUUUCAGAUGCUCUCUGGGGGGGUCUCAGCACAUUUAAAGGCUAAUUAUAUAGUUAAAGUUAAUUAUUCAUUCAUUAACAUUCAAAAAGCCUUUAACAAGACAGUGGCUUGUUCUGAUGAAUUAAUAAAAUGUGUGU
rnacentral:sRNA from 1 species